GCUUCUCUAUCCUACUCCAAGAGGACGCCGGUCGCCCGAGGAGCCCCCAGCCCAUAGCUCCGAGCGGUCCUCACCUUGCAGAUGCCUGACCCCGCGAAGUCCCUAAUCCCAAGGACCCCCACACCCCUUUACCCAAGAAGUUCUGCCUUCCACGCAUCCCCGGGAGCUCCCCGUGUAAACGCUUCCCGAGUCUCCCUCACCCCUAACGCCCUGUCCCCGCAGCCCCUCUCGCCCCUUCACCCGAGGAGUCGCCCAGCCGCGACCCUGGGGACCCAGCCCCUUCCCUUCGACUGCUUCCUCUGCAGGCCUCGCCAUCGCUUCCUAAAUAGCUUUGCCCUCCUUGAGACCCUGAGUCUUCGCGGGGCGGAGACCCUCCCUCCUCGGGUCCCUAGUCCACUGGACGUCCCCUGCGAGCGGCGUGGAGGGGAGGAUGUGUAAAGGGAACUCCUUGUCUUCGCACGUGUCUUUCGUGCAGUUCCCUUUCUGUCUCGGAAAUAGAAGCUGAAAGGUCUCACCCCUGGAUUUCGGGCGAUAGAGGUGCCGUAAAGACGGCACCUGUGUACUUCAUGACCAGAAGUCACAUCUUGUAGGUCAUUACAGUGAAGACCCAGGAAGCAGGGCCUGGAGAGAAAAUUAAAGCUGUCAUUUGGAUUUCGUCGAGAAGGUGCGCCUCAGGAUCUUCUCCAAGAAGGAGCCCUAAAGGGCAGGGGCUUCAAGGGAGUGAGUGCAGGCUGGACCCACCACUUGCUGGAGCCUUCAUUUGGAAAGUGGGGGUAACUGAGAGGACCGCAUGAGUCAAUAGAUGUGGCGCUGCACGAAAGCAUUCACACUGCAGCCAGAGACCUUAAACCCUUCCGUGACUGCUUUCUGUGUUUCCUGACCUGGUCCCCUUCUCUCACUACUCUUCCAUACUCUUCUUUCUCUCUCUACAUCCCAUCUACAUCCCACCGGCACUCUUUCAGUUCCUUGUACAGUAUUUGACGUUGUUCACGCUGUUCUCUGCCUGAAAUGAUGUUUCUCAUCCUCGCCUCUACUCAGUCUCCACUUACUUGUCAGCUCUCCUAGGAAGUCUUCUCUAACCACCUGUUGCCCGCCACAUCCUACGUCCUAAUAUUAUUAUGUGAAGUCUUUCUUCCCCUGUAGAAUAUAAAUCCUGGCACAUAUAAGCCACUCAAUUAAAAAAAAAAAAAUCUUUGUUGAGUAAAUGGAUAUUUUCUACAGUAGUUAUGUGUACACGUUUUAAUCUCCACUCAGACUGGACUAUAAGCUUCUUGAGAGUUAGGACUGUGUAUUUUAUUUGUUUGUAUCGCCUCUUCUAGGCCUUACACGUAGAUGUGGUCGAAUCUAUUGGAAUGAAUGAAAGAAUCUAGUAGGCUCAGUACUCCUUUUUGCGCAUGCUCUCAGAUUUGACUAUUUGGAGAGCCGAGACCAAAAUUGACCAGCAGAGGGCAACCGACAAUAACGUUGUGAAGGGAAGAAAGCUCCAAGGUUUACAAAAUGGAGGCCCUGGACCGAAAAGAAGGUGGUGGGGAUGUUUGAUACUCGGAGAUCCAACCUUUCGCUCUCAAAUGCUUCCCUUGUAAUUUUUGGGGGAGGCCAAGCCUUCGAACCUUCAUAUGCAAUAGAUAAUUUCAAAUUUUUACAGCCCACCCCAACUCCCGAAUUCCUUCACCCUCUCCCUUUCCAUUCCCAAAAAUCCUAUCCAUCCUUAUAUCUUUCUUUGCAUUGCAGCAUCAGGCCCCUUCUUUUUCUCCCCAUUUACAUGUUUAUUACAUUCUAUCCACUGGCAUUCUUUAGUUUCUGGUUCAGUAUUUGGCCUUGAAGUUACCUUCUCCACUGAAGGUUGUAAUCCUACUCAUUUCAACCUCCCAAGGAACCUUCCAUAAAUAGCCUUCCAUAACACACUCAAAUUCCCCUACUCCACUGGAUCAAUCCUGAAUUAAUUCAGAAAAAACAAAAUUACACCUUCACUUGACACUUCCAAAUCACCACGUUGUUUUCUACUUCCUUUUAUUCUUUGAAUAAAAUGUAUCUCUGCCUCCAGCUACAUACUAUCUUAACACCUUGUUGUAGAAAGCUUUGCUAUGUUUGAAACCACUGAUUUCUUAUUGUGGUUUAGAGACACCAUACUCUUCUUUUUCUCUUAGAAUACUAUUUCUCCAUUUCAUUUGUUUUCUCCCUCCUUCUGUAGAAUUCUACCAAAGCUUCAUUCUUCUCCUUCCUCUCAAGACAGAAAUCCCAAGCCACUGUCCCAGGCAUGGCCUUGCAGCCAAACUGUGGUGCUGUGUCUCUAGCUACCUAUGUAUAUGUUUCCAUAGCAGACUGAUUGUCACCUCAAACACAAGCAAAACUUCUCUUCCUUUCCCAGGAUCACGUUCUCAACUUUUUCCAUUUCUGUUAACACUAUUUUCUCAAUUCCCUCUAGUUUCCAACCUUAAGAAUUAUCUGACAUUUUCUUUUCUCCCAUGCCCAUCAUUCAUCAAUCAUUGCUUCGUCCAUCACAUCAUCUAAUUGAUGCUUUUGUUAGAAUGACCUUACAGGUUCCCCAGUUUCACCACACUUAAAUCUCUAAAACACUGCUUUCAUCAUAUUCCCCCGUCCAGGAACUUCAACGCCCCAUCUGAUCAAACACAUGCUCCUAUUAUCAACACACUGGCCUAAAUCACCCAUUUUUUUUAUCCUUAAUUCUUCCCAGUAAGAUACCCCCAAUCUAAUUGGGUUGGGCGUCCAUGUGUCAGCCUCUAAUUCCUUCUUUCAUGUGGGUCCUUCUGUUUCUUCAUCUUAUAACCAACGACUAGCUAAUGCCACCCUAUACUGGUCUUUUCAGCUACCAAUUCUUAGAUCUUAAUCAAAAUUUCUUUCAUGUGACUGAAAAGCUAAUGUGGGGGAAUCUAACAGACAAGAAUAUGUUAUCCCCUUCCAAGUUGUUGACGUGUCCCAAAUGUUAAGAGGCACAGAUCUCUGCACUUCAUCCAGUAAAGUAAAUCAUGAGAGGACUUCGGCCGAAAUGAUCUCAACCUGCACUUGUUUCAGGAAUGCUGUCACUGCACAAAACAUUUCUGAGAGUCCUUCACAGAUAGUUUAUGGGCCAUAUUUAAAUGAGUCAUUUCUUCAAAAUUACUUUUUAAAAAAAAGCUGAAGCAUUAGCCAACUUUAUCAUGCAUCUAUUUUCCAGAUUUGUGUUCCAGAUUACUUCUGGAAUUCCCCCAAAGCCCCAUUCUUAGCCUUCUUCCCGUUCUCUCCUUUACUGUUUGUAUUCAUUCCUAGGACUUCUUGAUCACCUUUGGGCUGGUAACUCCCAUAUCCACAUCUUUAACCCUAACUUCUUGCUUUUAAGCUCCAGACCCACAUUUCCACUUGCUGGCUAAACACUUCUAUGUGGAAGCACUUCCAACCCAGUGUUCUCCAAAUGAACUCAUUACUUCACCCCUGAAACCUGCUCAUCCUCUUCCCCUCCCUGUUCAGGUUAAUGACACUACUUUUUUAGUCACAGACUAGAAACCGGUCUAUCCGUGACUCAUCUUUGGUUACGUGCCCCUUGUUACAUACAGCGGUUAGGAGCUCAGGCUCUGGAAUGACUUUCUGGGUUUAAAUCCCAGUUCUGAUUAUUAGCUGUGUGAAUUUUGUCCUUUGUCUGUUUCCCCACAUAGAAAAUGAAGAUGAUAAUAGUGCCUUUUUAUAAAGUUGUUGGGAUGACUAGAUAGUUAAUAUUUAGAAUAGUGCCUGACUCACAGUAAAUGCUCAAUCUGGCUCUUCCCCACUGUCCUCACUGCCAAUAUCUGAUCCUGUUCAGAACUCAGCUCCAAUGAUUCUUCUGAGAAGCGUUCCCUCUUGCAUUCCACCAGGGAGAAGAUGGCAGCAAAUGCCUCCAAAAGGGGUUCUCAAGGUUUGACAACCAUCACAGGAAAAUACAACUGACUCUGGUCUGGCAAGGCUGGUAGAGAAAUGACCUAUUGAAGGUGGCAGCUUUCAUAUCAAAAUGCAGAGUACAUGGCUGCAUCAAAAACUGGUUUUUCCAAUAAAUCACAGGAAGAAAACAGCACCAGUUUUCUCUUAGGAAUCAUAUCCUGGAUCCUAUGGGGCAUGUGACCCAGCCCAGGACAGUGAGAGUGAUGUCUGGGACUUCUACUGGAGCUCUCAAGGUGCGCUCUUUCCCCGGGAGUUGCAUAGCUGGUAGGAUGUACAACCCAGAGUGGCUGGUGACUCUCUCUGCCAUUGACAAGGAGAGCCUGCUUACAGAAGGAAGCCAAUAAUGAAGAAAGUAGACCUGAGAGACUGAAUUCAGAUGAGAUCAUUUGAGGUUCCAGAUUCAGCCAUGCCUGAAGCCACAAUCACCUUUCAAAUCAGUUACGUGAGCCAAUAAAUUCUCUAUUAUGUUCAGGCUGGUUUAAGCCGGGUUUUUGUUUCUUUCAACUGAUAAAAACUCUGAUUAAUACACAAAGCUAAUGGAUACAAGAAAUCACAAGGCCCCACUGGAACCACUUAUCUUUCUUUACCCAUUUCAUAUUGGAACAAUGAUAGCCCGGGUCACUGCUACAAUUACACUGACCUCCAUCACCACCACUUCUCUAUAAACUCCAUCUAGAGCAUAUAGUUGAGGGCCUUGGGCUUACUAACAAUCCCUCUGAAACCAUCACUGUAAACCACCUUGGCCUGGCUCUCUCCUAUAAAAUGGGGCUGGGAGUGGGGCAUGUAUCAUAUA